rnacentral:tRNA from 1 species
CGGGGCCUGGACGUACUCGGCGGCGUCCGUCGCCUGCGCGGCGGCGGUGCGCUUCUCGAAGAGCUGCUGGGUCACGUCGGCUGCCACGACC